rnacentral:rRNA from 1 species
UACGAAGGGGGCUAGCGUUGCCCGGAAUUACUGGGCGUAAAGCGCACGUAGGCGGCUUUCUAAGUCGGAGGUGAAAUCCUGGAGCUCAACUCCAGAACUGCCUUCGAUACUGGAGAGCUUGAGUCCGGGAGAGGUGAGUGGAACUGCGAGUGUAGAGGUGAAAUUCGUAGAUAUUCGCAAGAACACCAGUGGCGAAGGCGGCUCACUGGCCCGGUACUGACGCUGAGGUGCGAAAGCGUGGGGAGCAAACAGG